rnacentral:rRNA from 1 species
UACGUAGGGACCAAGCGUUGUUCGGAUUUACUGGGCGUAAAGGGCGCGUAGGCGGCGUGACAAGUCACUUGUGAAAUCUCUGAGCUUAACUCAGAACGGCCAAGUGAAGCUGUUGUGCUAGAGUGCAGAAGGGGCAAUCGGAAUUCUUGGUGUAGCGGUGAAAUGCGUAGAUAUCAAGAGGAACACCUGAGGUGAAGACGGGUUGCUGGGCUGACACUGACGCUGAGGCGCGAAAGCCAGGGGAGCAAACGGG